GAUUGGACCAGUGCACAGGUGCUGCAUGGCUGUCGUCAGCUCGUGUCGUGAGAUGUUCGGUUAAGUCCGGCAACGAGCGCAACCCACAUCUUUAGUUGCCAGCAGGUUAAGCUGGGCACUCUAGAGAAACUGCCCGUGAUAAGCGGGAGGAAGGUGUGGAUGACGUCAAGUCCUCAUGGCCCUUACGGGUUGGGCUACACACGUGCUACAAUGGCAGUGACAAUGGGUUAAUCCCAAAAAGCUGUCUCAGUUCGGAUUGGGGUCUGCAACUCGACCCCAUGAGGUCGGAAUCGCUAGUAAUCGCGUAACAGCAUGACGCGGUGAAUACGUUCCCGGGCCUUGUACACACCGCCCGUCACACCAUGGGAGUUGGUUCUACCCGACGACGCUGCGCUAACCCUUCGGGGAGGCAGGCGGCCACGGUAGGAUCAGCGACUGGGGUGAAGUCGUAACAAGGUAGCCGUAAUCACUAGU
rnacentral:rRNA from 1 species